GUAGGGUGCGAGCGUUAAUCGGAAUUACUGGGCGUAAAGCGUGCGCAGGCGGUUUUGUAAGCCAGAUGUGAAAUCCCCGGGCUUAACCUGGGAACUGCAUUUGUGACUGCAUGGCUGGAGUGCGGCAGAGGGGGAUGGAAUUCCGCGUGUAGCAGUGAAAUGCGUAGAUAUGCGGAGGAACACCGAUGGCGAAGGCAAUCCCCUGGGCCUGCACUGACGCUCAUGCACGAAAGCGUGGGGAGCAAACAGGAUUAGAUACCCUGGUAGUCCACGCCCUAAACGAUGUCAACUGGUUGUUGGACGGCUUGCUGUUCAGUAACGAAGCUAACGCGUGAAGUUGACCGCCUGGGGAGUACGGCCGCCCUUGUU
rnacentral:rRNA from 1 species